rnacentral:rRNA from 1 species
GUCUUCGGUCAUCCUAAACCCUGAAAGUGCCUGAUCUCAUAUGAUCUUGGAAGCUAAGCAGGGUUGGUCCUGGUUCGAUUGGAGGGUACCU